UACGGAGGGUGCAAGCGUUGUCCGGAAUCACUGGGCGUAAAGGGCGCGUAGGCGGCUCAUGAAGGCUGUGGUGAAAGUCCGGGGCUCAACCUCGGAUCGGCCGUGGCGACUCGUGGGCUGGAGCACUGUAGAGGCGGGUGGAAUUCCGGGUGUAGCGGUGGAAUGCGUAGAGAUCCGGAAGAACACCGGUGGCGAAGGCGGUCUGCUGGGCAGUAGCUGACACUGAGGCACGAAAGCGUGGGGAGCGAACAGG
rnacentral:rRNA from 1 species